CAGCAGCCGCGGGAAUACGGAGGAUCCAAGCGUUAUCCGGAAUCAUUGGGUUUAAAGGGUCCGUAGGCGGUCUUGUAAGUCAGUGGUGAAAGCCCAUCGCUCAACGGUGGAACGGCCAUUGAUACUGCAGGACUUGAAUUAUUGGGAAGUAACUAGAAUAUGUAGUGUAGCGGUGAAAUGCUUAGAGAUUACAUGGAAUACCAAUUGCGAAGGCAGGUUACUACCAAUUGAUUGACGCUGAUGGACGAAAGCGUGGGUAGCGAACAGGAUUAGAUACCCCCGUAGUUCCUGUCUCUUAUAU
rnacentral:rRNA from 1 species